GAUUGCAACCGGCCACAACUAAGUAAAGCCCAAAUGCACUAACCUAGACCAGCCCAAGUUGGCUUUCACGAUUAGGUCAUUCCUUGUCCCCAGGGUCACCUAUUCCUCUCGAGCCUCCCACGCCGGCCGCCGCCCCUCGUCACCGCUCCCCCGCGAGCAACUCCUUUGCACGGCUGCGACCUACCUGCAUCCUGACGCGCCGCCCCUCACCACUCCCCUGCGAUCCUCCGUCCUGGCGCGCCGCACCUCGCCACAACCCUGCGAUCCUCCGUCCUGGCGCUCCGCACCUCGCCACAACCCUGCGAUCCUCCGUCCCGCCGCGCCGUCGCUCGUCACCACUCCCCUGCUGCCCUGCAUACCGGCGCGCCGCCCCUCGUCAUGGCACUCCUGCGACCAACGGCGAAUCUAAGUACUAUGCAUGUAAACGGCGUCCGAAUUGACAUGACGAGUCAGAGAGGAAAGCAGGGCAGGACCUGAGCACGCUUACUAAUAGGACUGGAUGGAUACUGCUGCGGUGCUGCCACAGAUUUCAUUCUAGGUAUGACUACAUCUAUUUUUUCUUUGUAAAAGAAAGAAGAUCAGGCUCUUCAACUGUUCAUUAACGCACGAUUAAGCUCGCAAAGUAGCACCCAAUCUCAAUAUUUACUCGUCCACUUAUUAAUAUUACAUGCAAGGUAAUGAUCGGGCCUCUCUAUACUAUGCAAAUUGAUAUGCUUGAACAGCAACAAAGUGCAGCAAUUAAUUUAACAUAACAUAUAUUAACUACAAACAUAUAAGAGAUUGUAAAUCAAGUUGACUAUCAUGCACUAUAUACAAGACUUAUACUAUUGUACGUAUUAACUUAGUCUGCAUGGCUUGCAGUGCACUUGCUGCAACCAGAGUAUGUAUAUGGUUUCUUCUGUAUUGCCAUGUUGGCUUUGAAACUGAGCAGAAUUAUUUAAUUUGCUUAUUAAUAUUAUUUAUUUAUUUAUAUUUUGCAGAUUGGUGCUUCUUUUCCUUUUCUAAAAUAAAAGUUGAUCUUUGAGUUAUGUUAGUCAAAUAUGAUUAUUAUGCCAGACUAUAUCAUCAGCAAGGUGUUUUUAGUACCAAAUGAUGAAUAUUUCAACCAUUAUUUGGCGGUAAUUUAGAUGCUUUCCCUUACUUUCCAAAAAUAAUAUAGGUGCUUCUGUUACAAUUGGGAGUUGAUGUAUUGUUAUCUCAGUAUGGUGGCCAAUACAAAUUAUAUUCUAUAUUCAUAUGCACUUUCAGACCAGAUAAAGCGUAAUUGUAUUAUCUUUUGACUCUCUUCGUGGUAACAUGGUAUCUCGAUGUAUCCUCUUACAUGAGAAAUAUUUUAAUAUUAGAAGUUUGCCUUUUCAACUAAAAAAGGAUAUUAGUAUUUGUGGGUAUCAUGAGUUCAGGAUACGGUGCUCCUAUAGACGCAUUUUUUGGGGUACUAUUCCGCAUUAAAAGUCAGGAACGUGUUCUAUUCUGCCUAUUGUAUGUAUGAACGAUGGAAAGACCAAACGGUUUUGUUUUGCAAAUUCCAUACGGGAAGGGAAAGAACAAACUAUAUAAAAGGAUUAACCUGUGAUGUACUACUACUUUUCAGUACUAUGUACUCAUGAAAUACACUCCAAGGAAACAAAGCGCCUACAAGUUGUCCCUCUAAAAUUAAGGUACUCAUGUAGCCAUUCCACGAUAAAUUAGUUACUCUUUUAGCAAUUUCAAUAUAAAUUUGUUGGUUUUGCCCAAUAAGAUGUUCCUAGAAAGCUAGAACAGUACACACACUAUCGAUUUGCAACCAUGCUUUUUUGGGUCCAGAGUUUCAACUCUCACUUUUGUUCGUUGCCCACAAAAUAUUUACUCAUCAUUAUUUAUGUCACUAUGCAUCACAAAAAACAUAUGUUAUAUUGUAUUUGCAGCACGCAAAUUAUCAUGGUUUGUUUUCAGUUUAAAAGAAAUUAAGUGUUUACUUGAGCUAAUUAGCACGUGUACCAGUUAGGUAUGUGGCAUGCAAGCAGAGGAGAGGAUGAACUUGAGAAUUACCAAUUCGGCCUCAUAUUUGAUCUGAUAAGAUGCAAAAAAUAAAUGGAUGAUUAUAUGGGUGUGUGAAGAUCAUGAUGCUCCUGUCCAUGAUGAUGAUGAUGAUGAUGAUGAUGAUGAUGGAUGCUUUUAUUGUUCGUUAAGUUGUAGGGAUGUUCAUUUUGGGUGAUGGGUGAUGUUCCUCAGUUAAGUUUUAGAUAAGUUGUAGGGAUGUUGAUGGAUACUUUCGGUUGAACUUUCGAUGUGUCGAAAAUAUUUAGAUUAUGCAUCAGAU